ensembl:lncRNA
CAUAGCUCUGCCAACAGCUCGUUCUUCCAAAUUAUUUGAAAUUAGAUUACGUACAGAAAGCUUUCAAGAAAUAUGAGCUUCUCCAUAUUGUUGCUUCUCCAAUACUCUCCGGGAUUCACGGUGUAUCCUACUACUCUCCUCCACACUACCAAGGAAGGAGUCUCCAUCCCACUCCUGUUUGCAUGUUACUGUUCUGCAGUUGUCCACAACAGUAAAAAGGAGGUGGCAUGAAGCAAGGCUCUCAACCAGCUGCACACACGGGACGGUCAGAACCAAGCCAAAUACAGAUGGUUAACUCUUGGGUCCACUCUGCAGCCUCUCUCAUGGGAGA